UACGUAGGGGGCAAGCGUUGUCCGGAAUCAUUGGGCGUAAAGCGCGUGUAGGCGGUCCGGUAAGUCAGCUGUGAAAGUCAAGGGCUCAACCCUUGAAAGCCGGUUGAUACUGUCGGGCUAGAGUCCGGAAGAGGCGAGUGGAAUUCCCGGUGUAGCGGUGAAAUGCGCGGAUAUCGGGAGGAACACCAAUGGCGAAGGCAGCUCGCUGGGACGGUACUGACGCUGAGACGCGAAAGCGUGGGGAGCAAACAGG
rnacentral:rRNA from 1 species